GACGAACGCUGGCGGCGUGCUUAACACAUGCAAGGUCGAGCGGUAAGGCCCUUUCGGGGGUACACGAGCGGCGAACGGGUGAGUAACACGUGGGUGACCUGCCCUCAGCUCUGGGAUAAGCCUGGGAAACCGGGUCUAAUACUGGAUAUGACUCCAUGACGCAUGUUGUGGGGUGGAAAGCCUUGUGCGGCUGAGGAUGGGCCCGCGGCCUAUCAGCUUGUUGGUGGGGUGANGGCCUACCAAGGCGACGACGGGUAGCCGGCCUGAGAGGGCGACCGGCCACACUGGGACUGAGACACGGCCCAGACUCCUACGGGAGGCAGCAGUGGGGAAUCUUGCGCAAUGGGCGAAAGCCUGACGCAGCGACGCCGCGUGAGGGAUGACGGCCU
rnacentral:rRNA from 1 species